UACGAAGGGUGCAAGCGUUAAUCGGAAUUACUGGGCGUAAGGGGUGCGUAGGCGGUUGUUUAAGUCUGUCGUGAAAUCCCCGGGCUCAACCUGGGAAUGGCGAUGGAUACUGGGCAGCUAGAGUGUGUCAGAGGAUGGUGGAAUUCCCGGUGUAGCGGUGAAAUGCGUAGAGAUCGGGAGGAACAUCAGUGGCGAAGGCGGCCAUCUGGGACAACACUGACGCUGAAGCACGAAAGCGUGGGGAGCAAACAGG
rnacentral:rRNA from 1 species